rnacentral:rRNA from 1 species
AGGUCCUACGGGGCGCAGCAGUGAGGAAUAUUGGUCAAUGGCCGAGAGGCUGAACCAGCCAAGUCGCGUGAGGGAUGACGGCCCUACGGGUUGUAAACCUCUUUUGUCGGGGAGCAAGACCCGCCUCGUGCAGGCGGAGCGAGAGUACCCGAAGAAAAAGCAUCGGCUAACUCCGUGCCAGCAGCCGCGGUAAUACGGAGGAUGCGAGCGUUAUCCGGAUUUAUUGGGCGUAAAGGGAACGCAGGCGGUCUUUUAAGUCUGAUGUGAAAGCCUUCGGCUUAACCGGAGUAG